CGACAGCUCAUGGCUGCAGCAAUUAGGAUCACUUUGCAAGGGACUGUUGCUUCUCUCAUGACUGGACAAAGGUGAAGUAAUUAAUGUAACGUGUGGGAAAGAUCAUCGACUGACGUUCUAUCAAAAGGAGAUUGAAAGGCUUUGGACAGCCCUCGGUUAUGAAGACAGAAGAACAUGGUUUCAGAGGGAGGAGAUGCAAGUGAGUCAACUUCAGGCAAACCCAAGCAGGCAAGAAAGCUCGCUGACAUCGGCCCACUUCCUUCACACGCUUGAGGCCAGCUCUAAUGGAUUCUUCUAAGCCGGAUGACAGAAGAUUAAUGAGGUGAGAGCGCUGAGGCGGAAGAGAGGAGGCUGACACCAACAUCCCGCUAAUAGUCCUUUUUUUACCAAAACCCUUGCUCUGAAAACCUGAAAAGAACAGAUUUAAAUCAGUAGGGAGUCAUCCUG
ensembl:lncRNA